rnacentral:rRNA from 1 species
GACGAACGCUGGCGGCGUGCCUAAUACAUGCAAGUCGAGCGAAGUUUUUCUGGUGCUUGCACCGGAAAAACUUAGCGGCGAACGGGUGAGUAACACGUAAAGAACCUGCCUCAUAGACUGGGACAACUAUUGGAAACGAUAGCUAAUACCGGAUAAUAGCAUUAACUGCAUGGUUGAUGUUUAAAAGUUGGUUUUGCUAACACUAUGAGAUGGCUUUGCGGUGCAUUAGCUAGUUGGUGGGGUAAAGGCCUACCAAGGCGACGAUGCAUAGCCGACCUGAGAGGGUGAUCGGCCACACUGGGACUGAGACACGGCCCAGACUCCUACGGGAGGCAGCAGUAGGGAAUCUUCCGCAACGGGCGAAAGCCUGACGGAGCAACGCCGCGUGAGUGAAGAAGGAUUUCGGUUCGUAAAGCUCUGUUGUUAGGGAAGAAUGAUUGUGUAGUAACUAUACACAGUAGAGACGGUACCUAACCAGAAAGCCACGGCUAACUACGUG